rfam:Gossypium raimondii Chr06_contig_1293, whole genome shotgun sequence.
UAUUAAAAUUUUAUCCAUUUCUACUGUAAAAAAUUAGCAUUGCUAACAGAAUAACCAAAGAGUGACACAUGGCAUGCCACAUUUACCUCAUGUUGACAUACUGGAACCUGUUUUUAAUAGUAGAAAUUAGUGAAAAUUUCAACA